rnacentral:rRNA from 1 species
GAUCAUGGCUCAGGAUGAACGCUAGCGACAGGCCUAACACAUGCAAGUCGAGGGGCAGCGGAGGGGUAGCAAUACCUUUGCCGGCGACCGGCGCACGGGUGAGUAACACGUAUGCAAUCCACCUGUAACAGGGGGAUAACCCGGAGAAAUCCGGACUAAUACCCCAUAAUAUGGGCGCUCCGCAUGGAGAGCCCAUUAAAGAGAGCAAUUUUGGUUUACAGACGAGCAUGCGCUCCAUUAG